GACGAACGCUGGCGGCGUGCCUAAUACAUGCAAGUCGAACGCAUUUUCUUUCACCGUAGCUUGCUACACCGAAAGAAAAUGAGUGGCGAACGGGUGAGUAACACGUGGGUAACCUGCCCAUCAGCGGGGGAUAACACUUGGAAACAGGUGCUAAUACCGCAUAAUUCCAUUUACUGCAUGGUAGAUGGAUGAAAGGCGCUUUUGCGUCACUGAUGGAUGGACCCGCGGUGCAUUAGCUAGUUGGUGGGGUAACGGCCUACCAAGGCUGCGAUGCAUAGCCGACCUGGGAGGGUGAUCGGCCACACUGGGACUGGGACACGGCCCAGACUCCUACGGGAGGCAGCAGUAGGGAAUCUUCGGCAAUGGACGCAAGUCUGACCGAGCAACGCCGCGUGAGUGAAGAAGGUUUUCGGAUCGUAAAACUCUGUUGUUAGAAAAGAACAAGGAUGAGAGUGGAAAGUUCAUCCCUUGACGGUAUCUAACCAGAAAGCCACGGCUAACUACGUG
rnacentral:rRNA from 1 species